GACGAACGCUGGCGGCGUGCCUAACACAUGCAAGUCGAACGGAACGGCCCGGCUUUUUUGGGUUGCUCGAGUUGCGACCGGGUAACCUACCCGUGAGUAACCUGUCCCUGACUUUGGGAUAACUUCAGAAAACUGGGGCUAUUCCCGGAAAGGAGCUCCUGCUUUAUGGUGGGCCUUGGAAAGUUUCGGCGGUUGGGGAUGGACUCGCGGCUCAUCAGCUUGUUGGUGGGGUAGUGGCUUACCAUGGCUUUGACCCGUAGCCGGCCUGAGAGGAUGACAGGCCACAUUGGGACUGAGAUGCGGCACAGACUACUACGGGAGGCAGCGGUGGGGAAUAUUGUACGAUGGGAGGAAGCAUAAUGCAGCAACGCCGCGUGGGGGAUGACGGCCUUCGGGUUGUAAACCGCUUUCGCCUGUGACGAGGCGUGAGUGACGGUAAUGGGUAAAGAAGCACCGGCUAACUACGUG
rnacentral:rRNA from 1 species